UCGGUUGAUCCUGCCGGAGGUUACUGCUAUCGGAGUUCGAUUAAGCCAUGCGAGUCUAAAGGUUUCUUCGGAAGCCUUGGCGGACUGCUCAGUAACACGUGGAUAACCUACCCUUGGGACUGGAAUAACCCCGGGAAACUGGGGAUAAUACCGGAUAGAUCAGGGAUGCUGGAAUGCACCUUGAUCCAAAGCUCCGGCGCCCAAGGAUGGGUCUGCGGCCUAUCAGGUAGUAGUGGGUGUAACGUACCUACUAGCCAACGACGGGUACGGGUUGUGAGAGCAAGAGCCCGGAGAUGGAUUCUGAGACACGAAUCCAGGCCCUACGGGGUGCAGCAGGCGCGAAACCUUUACAAUGUGCGAAAGCAUGAUAAGGGAACUCCGAGUGCCAGUAUCUAAUACUGGCUGUCCUUGUGCCUAAAACGCACAAGAUAGCAAGGGCCGGGUAAGACCGGUGCCAGCCGCCGCGGUAACACCGGCGGCCCGAGUGGUAGCCGCUAUUAUUGGGUCUAAAGGGUCCGUAGCCGGUUCGAUAAGUCCUCUGGGAAGUCUGGUUGCUUAACAAUCAGACUGCCAAGGGAUACUGUCGAACUUGAGACCGGGAGAGGUAAGAGGUACUUCAGGGGUANGAGUGAAAUCUUGUAAUCCCUGGGGGACCAUCUGUGGCGAAGGCNUCUUACCAGAACGGGUCUGACGGUGAGGGACNAAAGCUGGGGGCGCAAACCGGAUUAGAUACCCGGGUANUCCCAGCCGUAAANNAUGCUCGCUAUGUGUCNNNACGNUGUGACCGUAUCUGGUGCCNUAGGGAAGCCNUGAAGCNAGCCACCUGGGAAGUNC
rnacentral:rRNA from 1 species